rnacentral:rRNA from 1 species
GAUGAACGCUGGACGGGCGUAGCUUAACACGAGUGCAAGUCGAACGGACUUGUUAUGAAGCCUAGCGAAGUAACAAGGUUAGUGGCGGACGGGUGAGUAACGCGUGGGUAACCUGCCUUAUACAGGGGGAUAACACUUAGAAAUAGGUGCUAAUACCGCAUAAGCGCACAGUUUCGCAUGAAACAGUGUGAAAAACUCCGGUGGUAUAAGAUGGACCCGCGUCUGAUUAGCUAGUUGGUGGGGUAACGGCCUACCAAGUCAACGAUCAGUAGCCGGUCUGAGAGGAUGAACGGCCACAUUGGGACUGAGAUACGGCCCAG